UUAAGUUCAGCGGGUAUCCCUACCUGAUCCGAGGUCAACCGUGAGAAAUGUAGAGGGUUGUCUGGCAAGCAACCGCCGGGCCUCCAGAGCGAGAGAAGUUACUACGCUUGGAGCCAGACGGGCACCGCCACUGAUUUUAAGGCCCGCCGCAGCGCGGCGAGGCCCAACACCAAGCAGAGCUUGAGGGGGUUGAAAUGACG
rnacentral:misc_RNA from 1 species